GAUGAACGCUGGCGGCGUGCCUAAUACAUGCAAGUCGAGCGAACGGACGAGAAGCUUGCUUCUCUGAUGUUAGCGGCGGACGGGUGAGUAACACGUGGAUAACCUACCUAUAAGACUGGGAUAACUUCGGGAAACCGUAGCUAAUACCGGAUAAUAUUUUGAGCCGCAUGGUUCAAAAGUGAAAGGCGGUCUUGCUGUCACUUAUAGAUGGAUCCGCGCUGCAUUAGCUAGUUGGUAAGGUAACGGCUUACCAAGGCAACGAUGCAUAGCCGACCUGAGAGGGUGAUCGGCCACACUGGAACUGAGACACGGUCCAGACUCCUACGGGAGGCAGCAGUAGGGAAUCUUCCGCAAUGGGCGAAAGCCUGACGGAGCAACGCCGCGUGAGUGAUGAAGGUCUUCGGAUCGUAAAACUCUGUUAUUAGGGAAGAACAUAUGUGUAAGUAACUGUGCACAUCUUGACGGUACCUAAUCAGAAAGCCACGGCUAACUACGUG
rnacentral:rRNA from 1 species